ACAAGACAACAUCCAAGUUGUGGAGCAGGUCGGGAAACAGCACGACCAGUUUAAAAGGACAGCAAACCUCUGCAGCGCUGUGAAAUGUUUGUGGAGCACCAUCAUCUGCUCAUAGUAGUGGGGAAGUGAGAUCCAAUCACAACUGGUUACUGGAGAUGCAUCUGGAGACGCAUUCUUGUGCCAUGUGCAUGUGAACUGAUGUACCGAAGGUCAUCCACUUGUGAUCGGAUCACCCAAGACAAAUGUUAAUGGCAGAUGUUGUUCCAGGUGUGAGGUGAGGAGUCAGACAUUACCUGAGCACAUCACGCCAGCGAACACCCAGCACUGCCCGUACUUGACUGGGUGGCAGCCAAUAUUAUACCAGUGCUUUAGGAUGGCAUGGCUGCC